UGGGGAAUAUUGGGCAAUGGGCGCAAGCCUGACCCAGCCAUGCCGCGUGAGUGAUGAAGGCCUUCGGGUCGUAAAGCUCUGUGGGGAAGGACGAAACAACCUGUGGCUAACAUCCACGGGUCUUGACGGUACUUCCUUAGCAAGCACCGGCUAACUCCGUGCCAGCAGCCGCGGUAAUACGGAGGGUGCAAACGUUGCUCGGAAUCAUUGGGCGUAAAGCGCACGUAGGCGGCCUGUUAAGUCGGAUGUGAAAGCCCUCGGCUCAACCCAGGAAGUGCAUUCGAAACUGGCAGGCUUGAAUAUGGAAGAGGGUCGCGGAAUUCCCGGUGUAGAGGUGAAAUUCGUAGAUAUCGGGAGGAACACCAGUGGCGAAGGCGGCGACCUGGGCCAAUAUUGACGCUGAGGUGCGAAAGCGUGGGGAGCAAACAGGAUUAGAUACCCGUGUAGUCC
rnacentral:rRNA from 1 species